rnacentral:lncRNA from 1 species
CGGGCACUUAUCAGCAUAUGGGGUCGGUUGUGUUGAUGCUACACUCUAUGCAUCCUUUUGCAUAGAUUACGGAGCCGAAGUAGCUUGUAGACCACAGUAGGAGCAUUGGGAGCUGAUUUCACUCAAGAGAUUCCUGAGGUAGUCUUGCUUACGUCUGCAUGGCCCGGAGUCUCUCCUAUCUUUACUUCUUUUUGAUUUCCAUUAUAUUGGAACAAACAAUAUUGUGUUUUUGUUCAGAUAUUGUAUUUAGCAUUUUGUAGAUGUUUGUGAGUUAGUGACACCAGAUCUAGGUAGAGUUGUAUUUGAACUUUCUCACUUGCCUUUAGUUAUUUAUGUUUUAAUACAUCCGGUUUUAUAUUAAUUGUCUCGUCUUCCGAUAUGAUGUUGAUGUUGUUAAGAGAAGUGCUAAUUUAAAAGGAUUUCCUAGCUCCUAUUAAUAGGCACCAUCACGACUCCCGAUAGUAGGAAAUCCGUGUCGUGAUAAGUUGGUAUCAGAGCACUAGGUUACAUAGGUCUCACAACUCAUAGACAAACUUAGUAGAGUUUCAGGAAUUCGGAGACAUCUGUAUAUAUCCCCAGAGGCUGAAGAGUUAGGAAAAUUUAACUUUUUUUCUUUCUUGUCAUGCGAUCCUAUUUCCCAAAUACUUAUUGUCUUUCUACUAUGUUCUUUCGCAGAUGGAGAGAACACGUGCUUCCUUCUACCGUGCAGCAUCCUGAGCCCCCAGCAGCAGCUCCUACUUGGGCAGAGGGCGAAAGCGAGGCCGUGCCAAAGGCCGAGGCAAG